GACUGUUAUAUAGCCUGCUUAUGAGACUGUUACAGAGCCUGCUCGUGAGACUGUUAUAUAGCCUGCUGGUGAGACUGUGAAAUUAUCUGCUGCUGAGACUUUUACAGAGCCUGCUGCUGAGACUUUUUCAGAGCCUGCUGCCGCUUAACAUUGACAGAUGAGCGGCAAAGAAGAAAAUACCAAUGGUCCAGAUGAGCAUCAUCUACAGAAAGGAGAAUAUAAAGAAGGUUACAGCUCCCCCUAGUGGGCCAGACGUACGCUGAAUCCGUGACUGAUUUUAUGAAGCGUAGAUGGAGCCGACAUAACAAGAGACUGGAGAUCAGCACUUCUGUCCUCCGCUAUAUAACGGCAGAGCGAGCGCUGCGCACAACCUGUGAAAAUCUCAACUAUCGACAGAUGGGAAUAAUAUUCAUUUCACUUCACGGCGAGAUAAGUAAAGCUCCAGCGGAGCAGCUAAGAAUAAAGUCUGAAGGACACUGGA